CAGCCGCCACGGGAAUACGUAGGGUGCGAGCGUUAAUCGGAAUUACUGGGCGUAAAGCGUGCGCAGGCGGUUUUGUAAGACAGAGGUGAAAUCCCCGGGCUCAACCUGGGAACUGCCUUUGUGACUGCAAGGCUAGAGUACGGCAGAGGGGGAUGGAAUUCCGCGUGUAGCAGUGAAAUGCGUAGAUAUGCGGAGGAACACCGAUGGCGAAGGCAAUCCCCUGGGCCUGUACUGACGCUCAUGCACGAAAGCGUGGGGAGCAAACAGGAUUAGAUACCCCCGUAGUCCCUGUCUCUUAUAC
rnacentral:rRNA from 1 species